CUUGAAAUGAAGAAGAAUGAGCACUAAGUUAGAAAAAUGGGGCAAAUCAUGCAGAAAUACAUCAGAGUUCAGUGGAGGUGUUGGAAGUAGAUAAUAGGAAUGAUCUGGGAGGUUUUGUGAUGGGAAUAUUGCCAAGCUGCAAAUAUGCUAUAAAUGUCUCAGGGACUGAGGCACACAGGAUAUAAACCUUUUGAAAAAGAACAGAUUUCAUGGCUCUGCUACUCUGAGAACAAUGUGUUUACUGGGAAUGUUGGACUAAAACUGAAUUUCUUCAUCAACAGCUAUCGUCAGUGUGUGCUGUGUUGUAAGUGGGCAGGGGACUUCUGCCUGCAUUAAAUUAAGGAGUGUAGUGUUAGGAAUUGUUUCCUUACUCGGGAUGGCGUCACUCCAAGCCUCAAGGAUGAUGCUCUGAGGAGACACUGAAGAGCUGUGAAGAGCUGGGAGGUGGCAGGUACAGGGGGGAGCAGCUCCUGGCUUCCCUGGAGCAUCCCCCUGAAGCUGACAUUUAUGAUGACUGCUGAAUCAUGCACAGAAACUCUCAUAGAAGAGAGAGCAAAGACUUCCUCAGACAGUGCUCAGCAGUGAUGGAUGCUUGAAUGGACUUUCCUGGCUGCUACUGCAGAGAAGGCUCAGGACAUGUUUCCACAAGGAUGCUUCCCAAUGGUUCUACAAAUCCUGCUGUGCACCCCACCCAAAGCCCCACUGAGGAGGGUCACUGCUGAUGAGGGGGGGCACAGCUCCAGCUCCUUUGCUCCUGAGCACUUUCUGCUGCUGGCUUUGCCUCUCUACCUGCUGUUUAUAGAUGGAUUACAGAGCCCUUGCUGAUGGAGGCUUCCUGCUCACACUUGUCACUAGAGGAAAACUGAGUUUGGGAUUUUGUCAAGCCCUGUGAGAAUGACCUGCUAACUCCAAAAUAACUGUGACACCGUGAGCGACACUCUGGGGGUGAGUACAGAGGGAAAGGAGUAUGGGUUGCUGCCCCAAGUGGGCUUCUGAGUAGUCCUGCAUGGUCUGUGAGAGCAAUGGGUGGAUGCUUACUUGAAUAUCUAACUUCAGAGAAUGCUGUGCUUAAACCCAGGCCUUUUGUGCUCCUCUGCAAAGCUUGCUUGGUGUUACUAGAGUUGUGGGUCAUUUACUCAAAUGCUGGGAGAAGUGUCUUUUGACUUAGUUAUCCAGUACCUUUUGGGAAAGGGGCAAGGGAUGAGGAAGCAGUCACAGCUUCAGAAAAACUUAGAUUGCCACUGAAGAUGAGAGGAAGCCAUCACUGCUGAUGGAUGAUGGAGUCAGUCCUCCCCUUUUUCACCUAGUGCAGGACAGGAGCCUCUUGUCAGAGCUGCCAAACUGCUCCACAUGUACAUGAGUACAGAAUAGGCCCCUGAAACUGUGGGAGAUCUGUCUGGGUCCUGUUUCCUCUGAAUUUACAGCAGCUGGCAGACUAAGGUGACACAUCCUCUCCUCAGUGCUUUCAAUACCAAUUGGGAUUAAAAAAUUUCAAGGAGUGCAGAGUGUGAUCUACCAUACUUUUUCUGGAAGUGAUGAAAUAAUUUACACUUUCCACAUUAGGGUAGACUGGUUAUCCUUAGAACAAUCACCCACCUGAGCUGGCAGACAGGGACAGGGAACAGAAAAGACCCCCUGUGAUCUAGGAGAAGGUGGGUAGUGACCUGCUGUGCCACUUAGAUGCACGCAAGUCUGUUGGGCAGAAUGGAACUCACCUGAAGGUUCUGAGGGAGCUGCUGGCAGGGCUCACCAAGCCACUGCCCAUCAUUCACCAUCAGCCCUGGCUGACCACAGAGGCCCCAGGUGACUGGAGGCUGGUCAGUGUGACACUCAUCCACAGGAAGGGUUGGAAGGAGGAUCUGGGGAGCUCCAGGCCUGUCAGCCUGGCCGCAGUGCCUGGGGAGGUUAUGGAACAGAUCUUGAGUGUGAUCACACAGCACAUACAGGACAACCAGGGCAUCAAAGACAGCCAGAAUGGGUUUGGGAAAGGCAGGUCCUGCCUGGCCAACCAGAUCUCCUUUUAUGACCAGGUGAUAAGUGCCUUAUUGAACACAGUAAUCGAUGACUGGACAUGGCACUCAGUGCUAUGGUCUGGUUGACAAAGUGGUGAUUAGUAAAAGGUUGAACUUGAUGAUCUUGGAGGUCUUUUCCAACCUCAAUGAUUCUGUGAGUCUACGAUGUUAUGUUGUAUUUCUUUUUUGACUUUUCUAUAAAUACAAGCAGCUAUUAAGAAUGCCUCUGACUAUUAUAUCCAAGGAUAAGUGUUUAAGAUACAUGAGAGAUACUCAGGGAAUUGGUAAGCCUUCAGUAGAAAAAAAUGUCCGGAGAUCAAUUUCCUGAAUCAGUAAUGAAGGCAUCAUAUCGUAUAAAAUGUAAUGUGAUUGUCCGUGGCCUUAAUAAAAUCUUGACUUUUCCACCA
rnacentral:lncRNA from 1 species